rnacentral:rRNA from 1 species
AAUCAACGCUGGCGGCGUGCCUAACACAUGCAAGUCGAACGCGAGGACCUCGCAAGAGGUUAGUAGAGUGGCAAACGGGUGAGUAACACGUGGGUGACCUGCCUUAGAGUGGGGGAUAAC